CGCCCAGACUCCUACGGGAGGCAGCAGUGGGGAAUAUUGCACAAUGGGGGAAACCCUGAUGCAGCAACGCCGCGUGAGUGAGGAAGUAUUUCGGUAUGUAAAGCUCUAUCAGCAGGGAAUAGAAAAGAAGGUACCUGAAAAAGAAGCCCCGGCUAACUACGUGCCAGCAGCCGCGGUAAUACGUAGGGGGCAAGCGUUGUCCGGAUUUACUGGGUGUAAAGGGCGUGUAGCCGGGAAGGCAAGUCAGAUGUGAAAUCCGGAGGCUCAACCUCCGAAUUGCAUUUGAAACUGUUUUUCUUGAGUACUGGAGAGGCAGACGGAAUUCCUUGUGUAGCGGUGAAAUGCGUAGAUAUAAGGAGGAACACCAGUGGCGAAGGCGGUCUGCUGGACAGCAACUGACGGUGAGGCGCGAAAGCGUGGGGAGCAAACAGGAUUAGAUACCCGAGUA
rnacentral:rRNA from 1 species